AUGGUGAACACCGUGGAGGAAGCUCUUUGUGAUGACCCGGAUGUGGAACCUGGAACCUGCGCCGCUGCUCCCUGCUCUUGUCUCCUCGGCAACCGUGUCGGCCAUCUUCCCGUACCUCCUGUGCGUGGUCUCCUGGGACCCGCCGUGAGCAGGGAAGACCAGCAUGGAGGAACCCAAGAAGCCAGUUUCAUUUUGCUGGUGAUUGGUUUGAAGUGUGAUACAGCACCAGGAUCUAUACACGGAGACCUAAGGUGGGGCAUCUGCUCGAGUCUUCUGGGAGAGAGAUUUCUUCCUGACAAAGAAAGAGAUCCAUGGAGAAAUUCCACUUUUCUUUUCUGCCAUUGGAUGCUGUUGUAUCAUGACUUGAUAUCUUGCACUUCUGAAAGAAAAAAAACAAAAAAAAUUAUACAGAAGCCAAAUUGAAACCCAGACACGUUGAGGGGCAAGUUAGCUGAAACUGGAAUCCCUGACCUUUAUAAAUUUCUAAUUUUGAGUUGAUAGUUUAUUUCAAACUUAGUUUCCUAAGUUUGAGUUGAUAGUUGAUUAAAAUAUUUGACAUGUAGGAAAAGACUGGUGUUUUUAUGUUUUAGGACAGUAAAGCCAAACAAUGAGUAUACAGCCUUGAAAGAAAUAUGGCAUAUAAUAGAAUUACUCUUGGUUCUUUUGUGGACUUGGAAUGUUAUAAUUCUAUUCUUUACAUUUCUUGUCCACCAUUCAAAAAUAUUGAUAGGGUGUACAUUAUGUGCCAGAAAUUUGUUUUGGAUACUUACUGUACUGAGGUGAGCUAUAAAUGGUUGCUGCUUUUCAGUGGCUUACAGGCCAGUAGGGGAUGUGGAUGUAUAAACAAAUGCUAUGGUUUAAAAUGCAGAGAGGUAAAAACUAAUUUGAUGUAUAUCAAAUUACUUAGGAAUAUAAAAAGCUAUUUUGUGGUAAAGUUUUUCUAUUCUAUGAUAAUGUAUUUUUCUCAUAUUUGAGUACAGUGCAUUUCUUUCAAUUUUAGUUUAUUGAGUACUAUAUUAUACUUAAGGUUUGAUAAUGCAAGACUCUGAGGGAAUAUUUGUUCUUUAGAAAUGAGUCCAUGAUGGUCCUUGUGUAUUGGCCCCCAUAUAGUUUGCUUCUUCACAGUGGGUUUGAACUAUUAAUUUAAAGCCAACUCAAAAUUUUUAUGUAUCUAAGUGCUUUAAAUGUAGCCCAAAUAAAUAAGCAUAUUUUCAGCCA
rnacentral:lncRNA from 12 species